UAAGCCAUGCGAGUCAUGGGGCGCCUUGCGCGCACCGGCGGACGGCUCAGUAACACGUCGGUAACCUACCCUCGGGAGGGGGAUAACCCCGGGAAACUGGGGCUAAUCCCCCAUAGGCCUGAGGUACUGGAAGGUCCUCAGGCCGAAAGGGGCUUCUGCCCGCCCGAGGAUGGGCCGGCGGCCGAUUAGGUAGUUGGUGGGGUAACGGCCCACCAAGCCGAAGAUCGGUACGGGCCAUGAGAGUGGGAGCCCGGAGAUGGACACUGAGACACGGGUCCAGGCCCUACGGGGCGCAGCAGGCGCGAAACCUCCGCAAUGCGGGAAACCGCGACGGGGGGACCCCCAGUGCCGUGGCAUCGCCACGGCUUUUCCGGAGUGUAAAAAGCUCCGGGAAUAAGGGCUGGGCAAGGCCGGUGGCAGCCGCCGCGGUAAUACCGGCGGCCCGAGUGGUGGCCGCUAUUAUUGGGCCUAAAGC
rnacentral:rRNA from 1 species